rnacentral:rRNA from 1 species
GGGCCCGCACAAGCGGUGGAGCAUGUGGUUUAAUUCGAUGAUACGCGAGGAACCUUACCAGGGCUUAAAUGUAGUGGGACAGGUCUAGAGAUAGACCCUUCUUCGGACUCAUUACAAGGUGCUGCAUGGUUGUCGUCAGCUCGUGCCGUGAGGUGUCAGGUUAAGUCCUAUAACGAGCGCAACCCCUAUCGUUAGUUGCCAGCGAGUAAUGUCGGGAACUCUAACGAAACUGCCAGUGCAAACUGUGAGGAAGGUGGGGAUGACGUCAAAUCAUCACGGCCCUUACGUCCUGGGCUACACACGUGCUACAAUGGCCGGUACAGACGGCUGCAAAACCCGCAAGGGGGAGCCAAUCCGACAAAACUUGUCGUAGUCCGGAUCGAAGUCUGCAACUCGACUUCGUGAAGUCGGAAUCGCUAGUAA